rnacentral:tRNA from 1 species
GUGUCCCUGGCCGAUCGGCACAGGCACCGGCCCCCCACGCCGGACAGGCGGGUUUGACUCCCGCGGGGCACGC